CUUUUUCUUCUUCCUGGUUCUUUUGCCAUUCACAUAGUUUCUGUGGAUCUACUUCUCUCCUCAUGCUUGGAGUCGGGAAUUUUUUUUCCUUUCAGGGAUUUGUUUGCGCCUAAGAGAGGUGGAUUUUUGGCUGUGGAUGUCUGAAAAGUCUUGGGUCUAGAUGGUGGCCUUUGGGUGAUUCUUCUUCAAUGUCUGAGGCGACGUCCUUUCGCUCGUUAGAAUCGCCAUCGACUUGAUUGAUGUUGUCGACGACUACAUUUCGGAUAAGAAAAGCGAUCUUUUUCUAGGAGGCUUUGUUUUGGAGGAUGGAAGCACUAAAGGAGGCCCAAAAGAUCGAUUGACCUCUGUUUGCACUUGGUGAUGUUAUAUCUGCACUUGUUUCCACAUUCCAUCACUUAUGGUCCAAAGUUUGCUACUCUAAGUACUUGGUUAGGACAAAUAUUCGAGGAGGAGAUCCAGAGAUGCUCAUGUUUGUGCAGAUCCAGUUGUUCAGCAUCUUGGACUAGCCAUCCUUCUAUGGACCAGGUUUCUUCAUGUGAUCAAGAUACAUUGCACUGCUGGUGGAAGAGGUUCUGGGGACUAACUCUUAUAAACGGCAUGCAUAGCAAGAGGUGUGAUCUCUUCAGUGGGAAUUUUCCAUUAGAAAGUCAUUGAUUUUGCUUGCUCGUCACUCUGUUAAUUAGCUUGGGAAUAAACUGGUCAUGCCUUAAUUAUGUGUAAAAAUAUUUCAGGCUAUUUUGCGGUCCUCAGAGUUUCAGCUGAAAUUUAAAACCUUGUUUCAUCUCUCAUUUAAAGAGUUGUUGCAUCU